UCCGGAGAUGUCGGCGGGAGCCUCGGAAGAGUUAUCUUUUCUGUUUAAUAGCCUGCCCACCCUGGAAUCGGCUCAGACUGAGGCAGGGUCCAGCGGCUCGAAGAGCACAGCAUAUCGCGUGGUGUCCGGUGCUCUCCCGGCGACCCUUGAAAAUCCGGA
rnacentral:ncRNA from 1 species